ACCCGGACUUUUUAAAAUUUAUUUAAUAUUAUGAAAGUGAUUUUAUUCAAAGAAGGGAAUAAGAUUUAAUAUUUUAUUCCAAUUUAAUGAGUUUUCAAAGUUUUAUAUUUAAACCCCGGGUUAUUGUGUUAUGGAUAAAUAAUUGUAUUUUCAAAACUGAUUUUCAUAUAUUGUUAUUGAAAAUUCUAGAUGAAUAUUAUGUGAAUAUAUGUGGUAUGUGACUAAGUGUUACUUGUGGUUUUGCUCGUUUAAUUAAUUAUGGUGAGUUACGAUUAUUAUAUGAUUAAUAUAUGAAUUUUGUGAAUUUUGUGUUAUCUAGUUUAUUGAGCUGAAUGCUCGUAUGUGUUCGUAUUCGCGAGAUUUCAAUUUCUAUAUGCUCAGGAGAAAAUAUAGUUUAUUUAGAUAUUUCCAUAUUGAUUUAUGGAAUGUUAGAUGAUUUUAUAAUCGAUUUACGGAUUUAAUUGCGUAUAUUUAUAUUUAUUUAUUAAUUAUUUGACUUCCGUAAAACCGUCCACUCGUAACGGGGUAGCAAAUUUUCUUCCCGGAAGUUUCAACAAAACUCACCUUUAGCCUAAUUUCAAUAUUCCGGACAUUUUUCGUGUUUUGACUUUUUCGAUCCGGAGUACGGUUUUCCCCGUAGUCGGUCCGGCGGAGUUUUUCAGGUAUUUUAAUUGUUGAUAAUUAUCUGGUUGUCUCGAUAAACGUGAAACUAGAUAUUUUGAUUCAUCCUUAUCUUGUAAUAAUUGCAGUGGGACCCGCAUACUAAUGACUGAUUAAAAAGCCCCGUUUUGAUGAUUAUCUUGAAAACCAGUACCGAUUGGACCCCGCUUUAUUAAUAUAAAGCUAUUAAAUACGUAUUUUCAUGUCAUAAACGAUCCAAAGGGGUACCAAUUAUUUGUAAAUAUAAAUAGACUUUCCUAUAGCUGAUUUUCACCCGUAAAAUCAUUUCACCAGUUUCCUUUCACAAAUACCGAGAGAAACCGAGCUGCGUUCUUCGUAAUCAAACGAGGAUUUGAAGGUGUUAUUGGAGUCAGAAUCAAGCGUGCAUAUAGUCAAAUCGAAGAUAUCGAAGAGUAGAACCCAAAUCAAUCAUCAAAAACAACAUGAGAUUCACAGGAUUUGGACGAGACGUGUACGCUCGAAGACGUCAGGAAGUCGAAAUGGUAUUGCAAAGCGAAUAAGGGAUGAAUCGAGUAGGCGAAGCGAUGUGGCGAAUAGAGUACGGCUAGAGAUGGUCUAGAAAUUAUGAUAUGGAUAGAUUGUGAAAGUGGAAAGAUGAGAUUGAGAUGUGAGACUGGAGUCAGAUUUAAGAAAGGCUUAAAGAUGAGAUGAUUGAUUGAGAUUGUGAAUAAGGCUAAUGCUAGGCGAGGAGACAGAGUUGAGGAUCCAAUGGUCGAGGAGUGUUCAGGAAAGUUGAUGAGGUUGAUGCAAGCUAGAGCUGUGCUAUAAGGAUUCAAGUGUAAGUCAUAGCUGGAAUAGUUGACAGUGAUUCUUCUUAUCGAAGAUGAUAUGAUUUGGUAAGAAAAGUUGUGUAAUAUUAGUGGUUGAUUCUAAUUUCAAUACUGUAACCUGGAUGCGAUCCUGUUGUUUUAGGGGGUUAAAAUGUUCUCAUUCAAAUCUUUUACUAAAUGUUUUCAAGUUUUAAAUUCUUUUGGAUUUUCAUUAUCUUUAAAAAAAAAAUAAAAAAAAAAUACAGGUUUUCAAAGUGUUUUAAAAAGGUUUCGUGUGGUGACGUCAGAAUCCAGGCCCCCGGAUUCUCGGACUG